UGCUGUUACACAAUGAGGAAUUUAUUUGUUAUAUUUGUUGCCCUUAACAUUAUAAAAUGUCUCCUCUCACAAGCAGUGACUCUGGAUCAACCUGCAUAUGUGCUUGUGAAGCCCUCAGAGCCACUGACAAUCAUCUGUAAAGUCUCAUCCUCUAUUAGUGGCUAUUGGUGGGGUUGGGUAAGACAGCCUGAAGGGAAAGGUUUUGAGUGGAUAGGAGAUAUACUUGCUAGCGAUGGCCAAACCAAUUAUGCACCUUCCUUGAAGGGACAAGUAACACUGACCAGAGACACAUCAAAAAAUGAAUUGACUUUACAAAUGUCAAACAUGAAAAGUACAGACUCUGGGACAUAUUACUGUGCAAGAUACACAGUGUGA